rnacentral:rRNA from 1 species
CACGUAGGGUGCGAGCGUUGUCCGGAAUUAUUGGGCGUAAAGAGCUCGUAGGCGGUGUGUCGCGUCGGCCGUGAAAACCUGCAGCUUAACUGUGGGCUUGCGGUCGAUACGGGCAUCACUGGAGUUCGGCAGGGGAGACUGGAAUUCCUGGUGUAGCGGUGAAAUGCGCAGAUAUCAGGAGGAACACCGGUGGGCGAAGGCGGGUCUCUGGGCCGAUAACUGACG